rnacentral:rRNA from 1 species
UACGUAGGGGGCAAGCGUUGUCCGGAAUCAUUGGGCGUAAAGCGCGCGUAGGCGGCCCGGUAAGUCCGCUGUAAAAGUCCAGGGCUCAACCCUGGAAAGCCGGUGGAUACUGUCGGGCUAGAGUCCGGAAGAGGCGAGUGGAAUUCCUGGUGUAGCGGUGAAAUGCGCAGAUAUCAGGAGGAACACCGGUGGCGAAGCGGAUCUCU